rnacentral:rRNA from 1 species
UACAGAGGGGCAAGCGUUGUUCGGAAUUACUGGGCGUAAAGGGCGCGUAGGCGGCCUGCUAAGUCGAACGUGAAAUCCCUGGGCUCAACCCAGGAACUGCGUCCGAUACUGGUUGGCUUGAAUCCGGGAGAGGGAUGUGGAAUUCCUGGUGUAGCGGUGAAAUGCGUAGAUAUCAGGAGGAAUACCGGUGGUGCAGACGGCUCUCUGGACCGCAACUGACGCUGAGACACGAAAGCGUGGGUAGCAAACAGG